rfam:Hordeum vulgare subsp. vulgare, WGS project CAJW01000000 data, contig: morex_contig_1561743
UGAAUACUCCCUCUGUCCGGAAUUACUUGUCGCACAAACAAAUAAAAAUGGAUGUAUCUAAAAUUAAAAGACAUCUAAGAUACAUUCAUUCUUAUGACAAGUAUUUCCGGGAGGAGGGAGUAGUAU